GUGCCAGCCGCCGCGGUAAUACAGAGAGUGCGAACGUUGUUCGGAAUCACUGGGCAUAAAGCGCACGUAGGCGGCACCUCAAGUGCGGAGUGAAAUCCCACGGCUUACCCGUGGAACUGCUUCGCAGACUGUGGUGCUCGAGGAUGGUAGGGGAGAGCGGAACUCCUGGUGGAGCGGUGAAAUGCGUAGAGAUCAGGAGGAACACCGGUGGCGAAGGCGGCUCUCUGGUCCAUUCCUGACGCUGAGGUGCGAAAGCCAGGGGAGCAAACGGGAUUAGAAACCCGGGUAGUCC
rnacentral:rRNA from 1 species